rnacentral:rRNA from 1 species
GUAGGGAAUAUUGCACAAUGGAGGAAACUCUGAUGCAGCGACGCCGCGUGAGUGAUGAAGGCCUUCGGGUCGUAAAACUCUGUGAUAAGGGAAGAUGAUGACGGUACCUUAUCAGAAAAGACCGGCUAACUUCGUGCCAGCAGCCGCGGUAAUACGAGGGGUCUAAGCGUUGUUCGGAAUCACUGGGCGUAAAGCGGGUGUAGGUGGCUAUGCAAGUUGGAUGGGAAAGCCCCGGGCUCAACCCGGGAAGUGCAUCCAAAACUACGUAGCUUGAGUGCGGGAGAGAAAGGCAGAAUUCCUGGUGUAGUGGUGAAAUACGUAGAUAUCAGGAGGAACUCCGGUGGCGAAGGCGGCCUUUUGGCCCAGCACUGACACUCAGACCCGAAAGCGUGGGUAGCAAACAGGAUUAGAAACCCGAGUAGUCC